rnacentral:rRNA from 1 species
UACGGAGGAUCCGAGCGUUAUCCGGAUUUAUUGGGUUUAAAGGGUGCGUAGGCGGCUUAGUAAGUCAGCGGUGAAAUUUUGCAGCUUAACUGUAACAGUGCCGUUGAUACUGCCAGGCUAGGAUUUGGUUGCUGUGGGUGGAAUGUGUGGUGUAGCGGUGAAAUGCUUAGAUAUCACACAGAAUAUCGAUUGCGAAGGCAGCUCACAAAGCCAAGAUUGACGCUGAGGCACGAAAGUGUGGGGAUCAAACAGGA